rnacentral:rRNA from 1 species
CUUGGUCAUUUAGAGGAAGUAAAAGUCGUAACAAGGUUUCCGUAGGUGAACCUGCGGAAGGAUCAUUAAUGAACCUCUGAGGGUUGAGCUGGCGUUUACUCGCAUGUGCUUACCCUCUCAUCCUUUUAUUACACCUGUGCACUUUUGAAGGGAGUAACUAGUAGGCGUUUUUACUAAUGUCGAAUGUAACUCCCUUUACACACAUACACUUUAUUUAUUAAUGAAUGUUCAAACGCUUAACAGCAUUUAAAUACAACUUUUAACAACGGAUCUCUUGGCUCUCGCAUCGAUGAAGAACGCAGCGAAAUGCGAUAAGUAAUGUGAAUUGCAGAAUUCAGUGAAUCAUCGAAUCUUUGAACGCACCUUGCGCUCCCUGGUAUUCCGGGGAGCACGCCUGUUCGAGCGUCAUGAAGCUCUCAAACACUUUGUUUUCUUAAUUGCGAGCGAAUGUGUUUGGAUUUGGACUCUGCUGUGUAACAAACAGCUGGUCCGAAAUGUAUUAGCGGAUCCUAGUGCAGCUUGGUUCUACUCGACGUGAUAAUUAUCUAUCGUUGAGGACAUCUCUUUUAUUAGAGGUGGCCAAACUAAUCAAAGGAUUGCUUCUAAUCGUCUUCAUUGACAAAUUUUAUCUAUCAUCUGACCUCGAAUCAGGCGGGACUACCCGCUGAACUUAAGCAUAUCAAUAAGCGGAGGAAAAGAAACUAACAAGGAUUCCCUUAGUAACGGCGAGUGAAGCGGGAUGAGCUCAAAUUUAAAAUCUGGUGUCCUUUGGGCAUCCGAGUUGUAGUCUAGAGAAGUGUUUUCCGUGUCGGACCAUGUACAAGUCUCCUGGAACGGAGCGUCAUAGAGGGUGAGAAUCCCGUUCUUGACAUGGACCCCCGAUGCUAUGUGAUGCACUCUCAAAGAGUCGAGUUGUUUGGGAUUGCAGCUCAAAAUGGGAGGUAAAUUCCUUCUAAAGCUAAAUACAGGCGAGAGACCGAUAGCGAACAAGUACCGUGAGGGAAAGAUGAAAAGCACUUUGGAAAGAGAGUUAAACAGUACGUGAAAUUGUUAAAAGGGAAACGAUUGAAGUCAGUCGCGUUUAUUUGGACUCAGCCUUACCUCGGUUUGGUGCAUUUCCUUGUAAACGGGCCAACGUCGAUGUUGACCGCUGGAAAAAGGUGUAGGGAAUGUGGCUCUUUCGGGAGUGUUAUAGCCCUAUAUCAUAUGCAGUGGUUGCUAUCGAGUGUAACAGCACGCUUUUGCGGUGCUUGUGUUGGCAUAAUGGCUUUAAACGACCCGUCUUGAAACACGGACC